AAAGUUUUGGAGCUGGAUGGAAAGGCAGAAUUCUCUAAUGUAAUAAUGAUGGAAAGUUCCGGAGCAUGUAGAAGAGACAUGGAUGCAAAGCUGCCGGUGGAAUUCAUGGAAGCCCUUUAUACUGCUCUCCGAGAACAGAUCCAAUCCUUUGAGGAGCACCUUCAGCAGAAGAUGAAGGAGAGAGAGCUGGAAUCCCUUGCGCACCCACUGGAGAAAGAAGAUUGGAAUCUACCCAGUACUCAGCGUCACACAGUCCUCCGUGAGCUGGAUGACCUAGGAAGGCAGCUUAGACUGGAGGAAUACCGCAAGAAAAUUCUGCAAGGUGACUGGCUGCUAGAAUUGGAAGUCAGGCCAGUUCUUAUGCGGCAGAUUAAUACAGUAAGAAGCUAGGACGGUUAAUGAACUAUGAAAUCAAUAGUGGGUGUGUUUACGGCCAGUUCAGAAACACAGCAACUAGGGCUCCAUCCAUAUCAGAGCAGGAUCUGGGCCGUGGUGUAGAGUGGCUGCC
rnacentral:lncRNA from 1 species